AACAAUAUUUAUAAUAUAUUAUUAUAUUGUUUUCUUUUAAAUUUUAAUCCACUGAUAUCGGAAGCAAUGUCAGCAUCUGAGACU